rnacentral:snRNA from 1 species
GCCUUCGGGCAUUUGGUCAAUUUGAAACGAUACAGUAUGUCUUCCCCAACGUCCAGCGUUCGAUUCCCACUCAAGACACAUUUACUAACACAAUAAACAGGAGAAGAUUAGCAUGGCCCCUGCACUAAGGAUGACACGCUAUACAAAGAGAAGCUACCAAUUUUU